rnacentral:miRNA from 1 species
UAUUUAGGUUGGCGCAAAAGUAAUUGUGGUUUUUGCCAUCACUUUCAGUGGCAAAAACCGCAAUUACUUUUG